UGUAAAACAACAAAUCCUGCCUGCUACAACCAGAAGGAAGAUUGAUAACACAACACGUGAAAAAACAAUUUAGGGGGUAAAAACAAAGCAAAACAUGGCGGCACUCAAGAUGAUCUUCACCCCAGGAUGCAGGAGCAAUACAGAAAAGUUCCGCGAAGUUUAUGGAAUGGUGGCUGAGUCGUGUUUUGAAUGCAGAUCUUAUCAUUGCCUUUACCACAUCCCAACACAUGAAGUAAUUCGGGUAUUUUCAGUUCGUCAGCAGCUGCCAUACAGGGUGCCGUGUAUACUCUUCGCUUUUGACACAGAAGCU
rnacentral:lncRNA from 1 species